UACGUAGGUGGCAAGCGUUGUCCGGAAUUAUUGGGCGUAAAGAGCGUGUAGGCGGUUAUACAGGUCCGCUGUGAAAACUGGAGGCUUAACCUCCAGACGUCGGUGGAAACCGUAUAACUAGAGUCCGGAAGAGGAGAGUGGAAUUCCUGGUGUAGCGGUGAAAUGCGCAGAUAUCAGGAAGAACACCCGUGGCGAAGGCGGCUCUCUGGGACGGUACUGACGCUGAGACGCGAAAGCGUGGGGAGCGAACAGG
rnacentral:rRNA from 1 species